UGGGGAAUAUUGCACAAUGGGGGAAACCCUGAUGCAGCGACGCCGCGUGAGCGAUGAAGUAUUUCGGUAUGUAAAGCUCUAUCAGCAGGGAAGAAAAUGACGGUACCUGACUAAGAAGCACCGGCUAAAUACGUGCCAGCAGCCGCGGUAAUACGUAUGGUGCAAGCGUUAUCCGGAUUUACUGGGUGUAAAGGGAGCGUAGACGGAGUGGCAAGUCUGAUGUGAAAACCCGGGGCUCAACCCCGGGACUGCAUUGGAAACUGUCAAUCUAGAGUACCGGAGAGGUAAGCGGAAUUCCUAGUGUAGCGGUGAAAUGCGUAGAUAUUAGGAGGAACACCAGUGGCGAAGGCGGCUUACUGGACGGUAACUGACGUUGAGGCUCGAAAGCGUGGGGAGCAAACAGG
rnacentral:rRNA from 3 species